CACGUAGGGAGCAAGCGUUGUCCGGCUUUAUUGGGCGUAAAGAGCUCGUAGGUGGUUCGGUAAGUCAGGUGUGAAACCUCCAGGCUCAACCUGGAGACGCCACUUGAUACUGCUGUGACUGGAGUCCGGUAGGGGAGCGUGGAAUUCCUGGUGUAGCGGUGAAAUGCGCAGAUAUCAGGAGGAACACCAGCGGCGAAGGCGGCGCUCUGGGCCGGUACUGACACUGAGGAGCGAAAGCGUGGGUAGCAAACAGG
rnacentral:rRNA from 1 species